rnacentral:rRNA from 1 species
ACUCCUACGGGAGGCAGCAGUGGGGAAUAUUGCACAAUGGGGAAACCCUGAUGCAGCCAUGCCGCGUGUGUGAAGAAGGCCUUCGGUUGUAAAGCACUUUCAGUAGGGAGGAAGGUAGUGUAGUUAACACCUGCAUUAUUUGACGUUACCUACAGAAGAAGCACCGGCUAACUCCGUGCCAGCAGCCGCGGUAAUACGGAGGGGUGCGAGCGUUAAUCGGAAUUACUGGGCGUAAAGCGCAUGCAGGCGGCCUGUUAAGUCAGAUGUGAAAGCCCGGGGGCUUAACCUCGGAAUUGCAUUUGAAACUGGCAGGCUAGAGUCUGUAGAGGGGGUAGAAUUUCAGGUGUAGCGGUGAAAUGCGUAGAGAUCUGAAGGAAUACCAGUGGCGAAGGCGGCCCCCUGGACAAAGACUGACGCUCAGAUGCGAAAGCGUGGGGAGCGAAACAGGAUUAGAUACCCGUGGUAGCGACUGA